rnacentral:rRNA from 1 species
UACGUAGGGUGCGAGCGUUAAUCGGAAUUACUGGGCGUAAAGCGUGCGCAGGCGGUGAUGUAAGACAGUUGUGAAAUCCCCGGGCUCAACCUGGGAACUGCAUCUGUGACUGCAUCGCUGGAGUGCGGCAGAGGGGGAUGGAAUUCCGCGUGUAGCAGUGAAAUGCGUAGAUAUGCGGAGGAACACCGAUGUCGAAGGCAAUCCCCUGGGCCUGCACUGACGCUCAUGCACGAAAGCGUGGGGAGCAAACAGG